GUCUACGGCCAUACCACCCUGAACGCGCCCGAUCUCGUCUGAUCUCGGAAGCUAAGCAGGGUCGGGCCUGGUUAGUACUUGGAUGGGAGAGAGCAAGAAAGAGACA
rnacentral:rRNA from 1 species